GUGCUGUAUCUAAUUUAAAAUAUAUCCCGUUGUGACUAUUGGCUGCUUGUUUUUGUGUUACAGCAAGAUCAAGUUAAAACUAUUCUGAGUGAGGACCGACAAAAGCUGCAAAUGAACGGGUUGCAUUUGGGGAAAAAGAGAUAUACCAUAAUAAUAGAUGAGCUGUUAAACGAGGGCGGCUUCUUGAUUAUAAAAGGAAAAUCGGAAAUCGAGGAGCAGAAGUGUAAUGUAGUGAUUGGCAAAAGUGCAUCAGCAAUAAUCAUUUUGGAAGGGAACAAGCCGCAGGUUAAGACUGCUUUAAUCGAACAUGUAUCAUGCAUUGUUGAUCACCUAGUCAGUGUCAAAAUGUGACGUCUUUGCAUCAGACUGACCAUUCUCUUUUGUACCGCUCUGAGCUUGCCCACUGCAGAGACCCUUUUUAUACAUACACUGAAAUUGAAAGCAAAAUCUGGUGAAGCUUUAAUGCACUGUCAAUCUUGAAUGAUUCCUGGACUGUUCAAACUGAUUGCAAAUGUAAUAAUAAGCACAAGUCAAGCUUGCGUUGCCAAGUGUGGCAGGUGUCAAUAAAUCUCUAUUGCCCUUUCCAACA